UGUGAACCAUACCAAACUGUUGCCUCGGCGGGGUCACGCCCCGGGUGCGUCGCAGCCCCGGAACCAGGCGCCCGCCGGAGGGACCAACCAAACUCUUUUCUGUAGUCCCCUCGCGGACGUUAUUUCUUACAGCUCUGAGCAAAAAUUCAAAAUGAAUCAAAACUUUCAACAACGGAUCUCUUGGUUCUGGCAUCGAUGAAGAACGCAGCGAAAUGCGAUAAGUAAUGUGAAUUGCAGAAUUCAGUGAAUCAUCGAAUCUUUGAACGCACAUUGCGCCCGCCAGUAUUCUGGCGGGCAUGCCUGUCCGAGCGUCAUUUCAACCCUCGAACCCCUCCGGGGGGUCGGCGUUGGGGACCUCGGGAGCCCCUAAGACGGGAUCCCGGCCCCGAAAUACAGUGGCGGUCUCGCCGCAGCCUCUCCUGCGCAGUAGUUUGCACAACUCGCACCGGGAGCGCGGCGCGUCCACGUCCGUAAAACACCCAACUUCUGAAAUGUUGACCUCGGAUCAGGUAGGAAUACCCGCUGAACUUAAGCAUAUCA
rnacentral:rRNA from 1 species